GGAGCAAACAGGAUUAGAUACCCUGGUAGUCCACGCCCUAAACGAUGUCAACUAGUUGUUGGGGAAGGAGACUUCUUUAGUAACGUAGCUAACGCGUGAAGUUGACCGCCUGGGGAGUACGGCCGCAAGGUUAAAACUCAAAGGAAUUGACGGGGACCCGCACAAGCGGUGGAUGAUGUGGAUUAAUUCGAUGCAACGCGAAAAACCUUACCUACCCUUGACAUGCCAGGAACUUUCCAGAGAUGGAUUGGUGCCCGAAAGGGAGCCUGGACACAGGUGCUGCAUGGCUGUCGUCAGCUCGUGUCGUGAGAUGUUGGGUUAAGUCCCGCAACGAGCGCAACCCUUGUCAUUAGUUGCUACAUUUAGUUGAGCACUCUAAUGAGACUGCCGGUGACAAGCCGGAGGAAGGUGGGGAUGACGUCAAGUCCUCAUGGCCCUUAUGGGUAGGGCUUCACACGUCAUACAAUGGCGCGUACAGAGGGUUGCCAACCCGCAAGGGGGAGCCAAUCCCAGAAAGCGCGUCGUAGUCCGGAUUGUUCUCUGCAACUCGAGAGCAUGAAGUCGGAAUCGCUAGUAAUCGCGGAUCAGCAUGUCGCGGUGAAUACGUUCCCGGGUCUUGUACACACCGCCCGUCACACCAUGGGAGUGGGUUUCACCAGAAGUAGCUAGCCUAACCGCAAGGGGGGCGGUUACCACGGUGAGAUUCAUGACUGGGGUGAAGUCGUAACAAGGUA
rnacentral:rRNA from 1 species